GUGAGGAGGGGUAGGGAUGGAAGAGGAUUGAGGAGAGUUAGGGACGAGCACUACAGGACACCUUAGUAUACAAAGUGCAGGGGCAAUACUUUCUACGACAAAAUAAAAAGUUACAGACUGCAGCUUUAACAUGCACUUUUCCAGUGUUUUACUGUUCAAAUAAGAUAUUUUUUACAGAACAUUUUCAGGAAAAAAAGAGACAAGACACAUUGUAAUGGAUAAUUUGUCUCCAGCACGUGGGGGCAGCAGUCCCAAGAGAAGACCCUGCUUCUGCGAGGCGCUGCCCAUUAGCCACUAUUUAUUUACAAUUCACAAAGUAAUACAGGAAGAAGUUUCUCUUUCAAUACAGAUCAAUCCUCUUCUCUAGCUUUUCCUCAUUUUCAUCACAUCAGAUUCACCCAUCCCCCGUUCUUUCAGUCUUUGGUUUCCACUCCCAAACAUGGCAUACAGCAGGAAACACUCCUACAUUCAGUUAUCUUUUCUCUCAGCAACUCCUUUAAAGGGGAAGUUCAGUAUUUUAGGAGCUAGCGGUUGGCUAACGUUUGUAGCGGUUGUUUAAAAAGCCCUGAAGCAUUGAUACGUUUCUUCUGGCCCCAUAGACUACUUUCAGGAUGAGAAACCAUCUGACAAAGUUGGAAAAUAGUGAACUUCCCCUUUAAGUUAACUGUUAACAUAUUCAAAACGUUGUUCGCUACUUGUGUAUUCAGUAUGUUGUAGUAUGUUGUUUCUACCUAUAGGUUCUAUAGGGUGCCGUUCUGGGUGGCAGUUUCUACCUAUAGGUUCUAUAGGGUGCCGUUCUGGGUGGCAGUUGGUUAGUCCCCUAACUUCCCCCCCAAAAUGCCAAGUCUUUCCAACAGGUCAUUGUUGGGGAUUCAGGAUGCUCUGCUUUCCCCCCUACUGAUUACAGGAACAUUCCUGGAUAAACUGAGAAGUUCCCAGAAUUUUUCAACCAUAAUAAUGAAGGAACCUAUAUAUUAAAUCUUCACUUAUCAGGUCGGUUCCAGAACACUUGGCUGAAACUCUACUCCUUUACAGAUAGAAUGGAGUUGAUCUAGGAUAAGAGUAGUCCUACUCACACAUGUUCUUCUCUGUGAUCAUAUGGCUUCAGAAAUGAAGGGUCCAGCAGGACUUUGUAUUUGUGCGUUUGACUCAUGGCGGCUGAUUCGAAGGCCGUGUGUACGUAGUAAAUGUUGCUAAAAGUUACCAUAGUAUAAGUAACCACAUGUGUAUAAGUUACUAUUUAAAUGAUUAGUUACCAUAGGAUAAGUAACUACAUGUAUGUAAGUUACUAUUUAAAUGAUUAGUCACCACACAUAACUGUAAAUGACUAUAAGUGCUAGAAAGUGGUGCGUGGUUAGAAGGUUCCGUCCCAAAUGGCACCGUAUUCCCUAUAUAGUGCGCUACUUUUGACCAGAUCCAUAUGAGCCGUGAUCAAAAGUAUUACACUAUAUAGGGUCCAAGAUGUCAUUUGGGACACUACACGCACUCUCAAGGGAAAGGUCUUCUGCUCCCUGUGGGUCCUGGCCAAAAGUAGUGCACUAUAAAGGGGAAUAGGGUGCCAUCUGAAACAAAGCCCAUAAAUCUCAACAGUCUGGUAGACUAGAGGUGUAGCACACCUUCCGACCUUCCUCAGAGGUGCUGUCCCAAAUGGCACAUUAUUCUCUAUAUGGUGUCCUAGCGCUUUGCACUCAGUGAUCUAGCGCUUUGCACUCAGUGAUCUAGCGCUCUGCACUCAGUGAUCUAGCGCUCUGCACUCAGUGAUCUAGCGCUCUGCACUCAGUGAUCUAGCGCUUUGCACUCAGUGAUCUAGCGCUUUGCACUCAGUGAUCU
ensembl:lncRNA